GAAGACUUUAUGCCUGCUUGUAGAGGCAAUUACACUGCUCGGGAAAGAGUCAGUACAUUCCAUUUCCCUCGUGAUGAAGAUGCAUGGAGAGAAUGGAUAAGAGCAGUUCACCGUGAUAAUUUCAUCCCUUCAGAUCACUCUGUGAUUUGUGAGCUGCAUUUCCAUGCACACGAAAUAGAAAGAAGUACAUCGUCAUAUGAUGCUAAGACUGGAAGAUUAAUUACACGCCUCUUGAUCGUCCACGUUUAAGGAAAGGUGCAAUACCAGCACUAUUGCCAGAAUGUCCUGAUUAUUUAACAACACCACAAGAAGGAAAAUAUCAUUCUUUUCGUUGAAGGUAUUAUGUGAUAAAAUUAAUAGUAGCCAUUCGAAUGAGUGGACCUGUGUCAAAAAGUUGAGUAGUGUGUAUUUUCUUUUAAUUAGUGAAAUGCCAUUUUUGAGAGUUCUGUGGUAUGUUACAAUUAACGCAAGUCUCACUUUCACUGUCCAUGUCAAUGAUUAACAGCUUGGUCAAAUA
rnacentral:lncRNA from 1 species